CCGCCUGCGGCCCCCGGCCCCGCAGCGACGCGGUCGCCGCCACCUCCGAGAAGGAGCUUCACCCACACCGACUGCCGUGGGCACAGUAAUUACAUAACGCCCUCCGGAUUGUGGAGAGGGAGGAGGAUUUUAGGCACGAAAACACAAUAAAGAAUUUGUAGCUGGCUGAUGCCUUUACUGACCAGAAAAUAAUUAACGUGGCUGUUGGAUUUUAAAACCACUUCUCUUCUACUGCCGAAUGCAGCAGUGCCUUACACGUGGCGAUGUCUGAGGUGAAGUUCUGUUACUCCAAAAGGCCGGUGCAAAACGCGUGGUUCCCUCCAGAUAGACGUCAGUUUCCAGAGAAGAUGACUUUCCUGCAUCCAGAUGGGAGAGAAGCAUUUCCUGCCUGUUUUCCUUCCCCAUCGUCGUUGCUGAUGCCUGAGCUUACAAAAACGACUGCAAAGCUCUUCCUGAAGAAUAACCAUUUAGGUACUAAUGUCCCCAAAAUAAAAUC